rnacentral:tRNA from 1 species
GCGCCCGUAGCUCAACGGAUAGAGUAGCAGACUUCGAAUCUGCUGGUGGGGGUUCGAUUCCCUCCGGGCGCA